AUUGAACGCUGGCGGCAGGCCUAACACAUGCAAGUCGAACGGUAGCACAGAGAGCUUGCUCUCGGGUGACGAGUGGCGGACGGGUGAGUAACGUCUGGGAAACUGCCCGAUGGAGGGGGAUAACUACUGGAAACGGUAGCUAAUACCGCAUAACGUCGCAAGACCAAAGUGGGGACCUUCGGGCCUCACACCAUCCGAAGGUCCCAGAUGGGAUUAGCUAGUAGGUGGGGUAAUUGCUCACCUUGGCGACGAUCCCUAGCUGGUCUGAGAGGAUGACCAGCCACACUGGAACUGAGACACGGUCCAGACUCCUACGGGAGGCAGCAGUGGGGAAUAUUGCACAAUGGGCGCAAGCCUGAUGCAGCCAUGCCGCGUGUAUGAAGAAGGCCUUCGGGUUGUAAAGUACUUUCAGCGGGGAGGAAGGCGGUGAAGUUAAUAGCUUCACCGAUUGACGUUACCCGCAGAAGAAGCACCGGCUAACUCCGUGCCAGCCGCCGUAAAAC
rnacentral:rRNA from 1 species